AACGUAGGUCACAAGCGUUGUCCGGAAUUACUGGGUGUAAAGGGAGCGCAGGCGGGAGAACAAGUUGGAAGUGAAAUCCAUGGGCUCAACCCAUGAACUGCUUUCAAAACUGUUUUUCUUGAGUAGUGCAGAGGUAGGCGGAAUUCCCGGUGUAGCGGUGGAAUGCGUAGAUAUCGGGGGGAACACCAGUGGCGAAGGCGGCCUACUGGGCACCAACUGACGCUGAGGCUCGAAAGUGUGGGUAGCAAACAGG
rnacentral:rRNA from 1 species